rnacentral:ncRNA from 1 species
AAGAGAAGGCUGCGAAAUAUAAGGUGCGUAGGUUUGAGUAAAUUAUGCUGACACUAGCUGACGGCAUCUAAUGAGGUAACCGAAAAGCUCUUAAGGUAGCCAAAUGCCUCGUCAUCUAAUUAGUGACGCGCAUGAAUGGAUUAACGAGAUUCCC